AGAGUUUGAUCAUGGCUCAGGAUGAACGCUAGCGGCAGGCUUAAUACAUGCAAGUCGAGGGGCAUCAGGAAUAGCAAUAUUUGCUGGCGACCGGCGCACGGGUGCGUAACACGUAUACAAUCUGCCUUUAACAGGGGGAUAGCCCGGAGAAAUCCGGAUUAAUACCCCAUAACAAUAGAACAAGCAUUUGUUUUAUUUAAAAGCUCCGGCGGUUAAAGAUGAGUAUGCGUCUGAUUAGCUAGUUGGUGAGGUAACGGCUCACCAAGGCGACGAACAGUAGGGGAUCUGAGAGGAUUAACCCCCACACGGAUACUGAGACACGGAUCCGACUCCUACGGGAGGCAGCAGUAAGGAAUAUUGGACAAUGCCCGCAAGGGUGAUCCAGCCAUGCCGCGUGCAGGAAGACGGCCCUAUGGGUUGCAAACUGCUUUUGUACCGGAGAAAACCUCCCCUCGUGAGGGGAGCUGAUAGUAUGGUAAGAAUAAGCAUCGGCUAACUUCGUGCCAGCAGCCGCGGUAAGACGAAGGAUGCAAGCGUUAUCCGGAUUCAUUGGGUUUAAAGGGAGCGUAGGUGGGUUUGUAAGUCAGUGGUGAAAGCCGGUCGCUUAACGAUCGAAUUGCCAUUGAUACUGCAGACCUUGAGUACAGAUGCUGUGGACGGAAUAUGACAUGUAGUGGUGAAAUACAUAGAGAUGUCAUA
rnacentral:rRNA from 1 species